CAAAUCUGGCCAUAAACUGGCCCCAAAACUGGCCAUAAACAAAAUCUCUGCAGCACUGUGACAUGUUCAUGUUGGCCAUGAUGCCUACACUGAAGGUUGUGGGUUUACCAGAAUGAGGGCAACAAACACCUGGCCCACCCAGGGCAGAAAACCACUUAAAGGUGUUCCUAAGCCACAAACAAUAGCAUGAAUGAUCUGUGCCUUAAGGACAUGUUCUUGCUGCAGAUAACUAGCCAGAGCCCAUCCCUUUGUUUUGGUCCAUCCCUUUGUUUCCCAUAAGGGAUACUUUUAGUUAAUCUAUAAUCUAUAGAAACAAUGUUUAUCACUGGCUUGCUGUCAAUAAAUAUGUGGGUAAAUCUCUGUUUGGGGCUCUCAGCUCUGAAGGCUGUGAGACCCCUGAUUUCCACACCCUAUAUUUCUGUAUGUGUGUCUUCAAUUCCUCUAGCACUGCUGGGUUAGGGUCUCCAUGACUGGGCUGGUCUCGGCAAGUGGUGCCCAUACAUGGGGCUUGAACCCAGGUUGAAGGGUCACCAGAGUGACAUUGGAGAACAUGGAACUAAGCUGGAGGACAUCUGAGUACUCUUAAGCAAUCCCCGUGGUGAGUAAGAAGGGGAGCUAGGAAGCAUCAGGGUAACAAUGGGACAAAUAUAGGCUCUGGUUCAUUCCACCUUGGAACCUUUUCACACUGACAAUGAGAAGGAAGGAGAGUAUAAUGAAGUAACAGAGCAGGUUUGUUUGCCAGCUAAAGCUAAAGCAGCAAAGGAGAGAGAGGUUUGUCCCUACCCUUCUGUACUCCCUCAUUAUUUUGAAGAAAAAGAGCGGCCUGACCCUCCAGAUCUUUCUUUUCCAGAGGACACCAGGCAAAAAGUAGUUGCCCCAGUGACUAAGCAGCACCUCAAGUAACCGCUCUCAGUUCUAUUCAGGCAGGAAUCCAGCAAGCUAGAAGAGAUGGGGAUUUAGAAACUUGGCAGUUCCCUGUUAGAAUACCUCCCCCCCCCGAUCAACAGGGAAAUAUUAUAGCUAUAUUUGAGCCUUAUCCUUUUAAAUUACUCAAAGAAUUUAAACAAGCUAUUAAUCAGUGUGGACCAGGUUCUCCUUUUGUAACGGGACUGUUAAAGAAUCUUGCUGUCUCCAGUCAGAUGUUGCCAGCGGGGAUGGUAGGAUUACUUCUAGGCAGGUCUAGUUUAAAUUUAAAAGGAGUGCAAGUACAUACAGGAGUCAUUGAUUCAGAUUACAAUGGGGAAAUUCAAAUUGUUGUAUCUACUUCUGUUCCCUGGGAAGCAGAGCCAGGAGAGCAUAUAGCACAGAUCCUGAUUGUGCCAUAUGUGGAAAUGGGGAAAGGUGAAAUUAAAUGAACAGGAGGGUUUGGAAACACAAAUAAACAAGGCAAAACAGCUUAUUGGGUGAAUCAAAUUACUGAUAAAUGUCCUACCUGUGAAAUAACUAUUCAGGGAAAGAAAUUUAAAGUUUUGGUAGAUACAGGAGUGGACAUUUCAAUCAUUUCUCUACAGCACUGGCUGUCCAUGUGGCCAAUUCAACCCUCUCAAUUUAACAUAGUUGGAGUUGAUAAAGCCACUGAGGUAUAUCAAAGUACUUAUAUUUUGCAUUGCGAAGGGUCAGAUGGACAACCUGGGACUAUUAAACCAAUUGUACCUAUAAAUUUGUGGGGAAAAGAUUUAUUACAACAACGGGGUAUGUCCCUGGCAUGGGACUAGGAAAAAAUUUGCAAGGUUUGAAGGAACAGCUUCAAGUGGAAAGAUGAAGUUCCCACCAAGGUUUAGAAUAUAAUUUUUGAUGUCAGCCAUUGUUAAGCCUCCAGAACCUAUACCUUUAAAAUGGUUAACAGAUAUGCCGAUUUGGAUAGAACAAUAGCCACUGUGUAAAGAGAAACUGGAGGCUUUAGAGGACUUCAUUGCUGAACAGUUAGAAAAAAGACACACAGCUCCAACAUUUUCCCCUUGGAAUUCUCCAGUUUUUAUAAUUAAGAAAAAAUCAUGUAAUUGGAGAAUGUUGACAGAUCUUAGAGCCAUUAAUUCAGUUAUACAACCUAUGGGGACAUUACAGCCAGGAUUGCCUUCUCCUGCUAUGACUCCAAAAAAUUGGCCUUUAAUAGUCAUAGAUUUAAAAGACUGUUUCUUUACUAUCCCCUUAGCUGAGCAAGACUGUGAAUGGUUUGCAUUUACAAUUCCUACGGUAAACAACCUGCAGCCUGCUAAGCAUUUUCAUUGGAAAGUGUUGCCACAAGGCAUGUUAAAAGUCCAACAAUUUGCCAUACUUAUGUAGGGCAAGCAAUUGAAUCUAUUCAUAAAAAAUUUUCACAGUGUUACAUUAUUCAUUAUAUGGAUGAUAUAAUUUGUGUUGCCCCCACUCGAGAAAUAUUACUCCAAUGUUAUGAUCACAUGCAAAAUUUGAUUUCUUGCUCUGGUUUAAUUAUAUAGCUCCUGACAAAAUUCAGACUACUACUCCUUACUUCUACUUGGGGGCCUUAGUAAAUGACACUACCAUUGUGCCACAGAAAGUAACCAAAUGUAGGGAUCAAUUGAAAACAUUAAAUGACUUUCAAAAAUUAAUAGGGGACAUUAAUUGGAUAGAACCUGCUCUAGGCAUUCCUACCUGUGCCAUGAGUAAUCUAUUUUCUAUCAUUAGAGGAGAUCCUAGUCUCACUAGCCCUUGGCAAUUAACAAAAGAAGCUGAGGCAGAGCUGCAGCUAAUCAAAAAGCAAGUCUAUAAAGCUCAAAUAAAUAGAAGAGAUCCAGAGAAGACUCUAGAUUUGCUAUUUUUUUAACUCAGCAUUCACCUACUGGUGUUAUUGUUCAAGAGCAAGAUCUCAUAGCGUGGCUUUUUCUUCUACAUACUAAUUCAUGGACUUUGAUUCCUUAUUUGGAUCAAAUAACUACUAUAAUAGGAAAUGGGGGAACUCAGAUUGUUAAAUUACAUGGAUAUGAUCCUGGAAAAAUUAUUUUCCCUCUCACAAAGGCACAAAUAGACAGCAAGCUUUUAUAAAUAGUCUUACUUGGCAAACCCAUUUAGCUGACUUUGUGGGUAUUCUCAAUAAUCAUUUUCCUAAAAUGAAAUUUUUAUUUCAAUUUUUGAAAUUAACUAAUUGGAUUCUCCCUAAAAUAACAAAAUUUAAACCAAUUGAAGGUGCUGAGAAUGUUUUUACAGAUGGGUCUAGUAAUGGUAAAGCUUCUUAUUCUGGCUCAAAAGGUAAAGUUUUCCAGACACCCCAUACUUCAGCUCAAAAAGUGGAGCUUGUAGCUGUAAUUGAGGUGUUGACUGCUUUUGAUAUGCCUAUUAAUGUGAUUUCUGAUUCUUCAUACGUGGUUCAUUCCACACAAUUAGUUGAAAAUGCUCAGUUACGAUUUCAUACAGAUGAACAACUGAUGACUUUAUUUACCCAAUUGCACACAGCAGUUAGGAGUAGAAUGCACCUGUUUUACAUCACUCACAUUAGGGCUCAUACACCUCUUCCAGGACCUUUAACUGCAGGGAAUCAAAUGGCUGAUCACCUAGUUGCUGCUACAAUAUCUAAUGCUAGACAUUUUCACAAUUUAACCCAUGUUAAUGCUUCUGGUCUCAAACGCAGAUACAACAAGACCUGGAAAGAAACUAAAGCUAUUAUCCAGUGAUGCCCAACUUGCCAAAUGGUGCAUUCCUCAUCUUUUACAGGAGGAGUUAAUCCUCAAGGAUUGGAGCCUAAUUCUCUUUGGCAAAUGGAUGUCACACAUGUUCCCUCAUUUGGGAGACUAGCUUAUGUACAUGUAUGUGUGGACAGCUUUUCUCACUUUUUCUGGGCUACAUGCCAAUCAGGAGAGUCUUCUGCCUGUGUUAAACAUCACUUUUUGCAGUGUUUUGUGGUGAUGGGCAUUCCAGCUUCUAUUAAAACAGAUAAUGCCCCAGGCUAUAUUAGCAAGUUCUAGCUACACUUUUCUCUAUAUGGAAUAUUAAACACCUUACUGGCAUCCCAUCUAAUUCUCAAGGACAAGCCAUUGUAGAAAGAAAGAAUUUCUCCCUGAAACAGCAGUUGCAAAAGAAAAAAGGGGGAAACAGGGAUUACAGGACACCCCAUAUACAAUUGAAUCUGGCAUUAUUGACUUUAAAUUUUUUGAGCCUGCCUAAAGGCCAGAUGCUAUCAGCAGCUGAACAGCAUCUACAGAAACCAGCUGCAAAGACAGAAGCAGAACAUCUGGUUUGGUGGACAGAUCCAGUAACAAAAAGUUGGAAAAUAGGUAAAAUAAUAACUUGGGGUAGAGGUUAUGCUUGCGUUUCUCCAGGCCAGAAUCAACAGCCGAUUUGCAUACCAUCAAGACACCUGAAACCUCAUCAUGAGCCAAAUGCCAAGGAAGAGAUUCCGGGGGGGAUCCUGAGGACCCACUGGUUGCAGUCAUGUCAAGAUUGACACUGAGGAGGACCCCAAGUGUCACGAGCAACACCCGUUGAACACAGCCACCUACCUGGGGACAGAUCAAGAAGCUGUCAUAGAUGGCGGAAGAAAACCUGAGGAAAGCAGGACAACCAGUCACAAUAAGUAAUUUAAUGAUAGCUAUGAUAGCAGUGAUCACCAUUGCCAUGAGUACUCCUUCAACAAGGGCUGACACAGAGAACAAUUAUACUUAUUGGGCAUAUUUAUCAAUCUUGGCUGGCAAUAACGCCUGGAUGUAAUCGCUCUAUGACACAGUUACACAUGCUUUCUGAUCUCAGUAUUUACCAUAAUAAAUCUGCUCCUAUAAUUGAGGCAUACCUCCCUCAAAAACCUACUUCUAAACAGAAUUGGAAGAUUGCAUUGGAGAACAGGCAGAGGUGCUGCGCAACGAUUCCUACGGAAUCAUUAUUGGUUGGUCCCCUAAGGGAAUGUUUAGCUUGAAUUUCACCUCUCAGUCUGCGUGCCACGGCCACACUAUGUUCAGCUGGUCUAAACAAAAUGGUCAGAUGGUAGAAAUAGUAAGAAAUACAGCAAGCGUUCCUAUUACCUGGAAACAUGGUGGUACAGUGGCAACUCGACCUCAAAUGAUAUGGCCUGCUGUAGGAGCUAAACAUAAGGAUUUGUGGAAAUUAUUAAAGGCUCUUAAAUAAGAUCAAAAUUUGGGAAAGAAUAAAAAAGUAUCUAGAAGGACACUCUACAAACUUGUCUUUGGAUGUUGCAAAAUUAAAAGAAGAAAUAUUUAAAGCAUCCCAGGCACACCUGACCUUAAUGCCAGGAACUGAAGUGCAUGAAGGAGCUGCAGACAGAUUAGCAGCUAUUAACCCAUUAAAAUGGAUCAAGACACUUGGAAGCUCUGUGAUUUCAAUGAUGAUUGUGCUUUUUAAUCUGUGUUGUCUGUCCUUUUGUAGGCUACAGAUGCGGAUCCUGACUCCUGCAAGAAGUAGCUCACCGUGACAAAACUGCCUUUGCUUUUAUCGCUUUGCAAAACAAAAAGGGGGACUUGUUGGGGAUAGGCCCCCAAAUCUGGCCAUAAACUGGCCCCAAACUGGCCAUAAACAAAAUAUCUGUAGCGCCGUGACAUGUUCAUGAUGGCCAUGAUGCUCACGCUGAAGGUUGUGGGUUUACCGGAAUGACGGCAAGGAACACCUGGCCUACCCAGGGAGGAAAACCACUUAAAGGUGUUCCUAAGCCACAAAUAAUAGCAUGAGCGAUCUGCACCUUAAGGACAUGUUCCUGCUGCAGAUAACUAGUCAGAGAGCCCAUCCCUUUGUUUCCCAUAAGGAAUACUUUUAGUUAAUCUAUAAUCUAUAGAAACAAUGUUUAUCACUGACUUGCUGUCAAUAAAUAUGUGGGUAAAUCUCUGUUUGGGGCUCUCAGCUCUGAAGGCUGUGAGACCCCUGAUUUCCCACUCCAUACCCUAUAUUUCUGUGUUUGUGUCUUUAAUUCCCCUAGUGCCGCUGGGUUAGUGUGUCCACGACCGAGCUGGUCUCAGCAAAACUUUUUCUCUACUAAAAAUACAAAAAUUAGCAGGGUGUGGUGGCAUGCACCUGUAAUCCUAGCUACUUGGGAGGCUGAGACAGGAGAAUCACUUCAACCCAGGAGGCAGAGCUUGCAGUGAGCCAAGAUCACACCAUUGCACUCUAGCCUGGGCAACAAAAGAGAAACUCUGUCUCAAAAAAAAAAAAGACAUCAUAUUUCACAUAGUGUGGCCUGAGUACAAGCCAACUACUUCCCCCAGAGCUUAACCAAAGAAACCAUGAUCCAUUGCAGUAACUGAGAAAAAACUGGCUAUGUUGUACUAAACACUAGACAAUGUCUCCAGCAGCAGUAGUGCCUUCUGUGCAUGGGCUUCAGCUCACACUUUGGCUAAAAAUCUGGUAUCUGGCUGACCUUCCCACUCCUCCCCACUCUUCCCCAGCAGCCCUCUUCCCCUCUACCCUGCUCUACUGUUUUUCCUCAGUAUUAUUUGUCACUUUCUACCAUGUUGUAUAAUUUAUUUGUUUAUUAUGUUUAUUGUUUAUUAUCUGCCCCCCCAUGGGGUUCAGAGCAUGUCACCCCAAAAUAUGCCACUUUGGCAUAUUGAUUAUUUUGAGCAAAAAGAAAUUGAGAAUCAGCCACUGCAGGAAAAGCUCUUUACUGCCCACUCCAAUCAGUUCACUAAGCUGCCUAAAAUAGAGAUUUCCCUUUUAGUAAAGGAAAUUGACUUUUAUUUAUUUAUUUAUUUAUUUAUUUAUUUAUUUAUUUAUUAAGACAGAGUCUCACUUUGUUGCCCAGGCUGGAGUGCAGUGGUGUGACCUCAGCUCACUGCAACCUCCACCUCCCAGGUUGAAGCGAUUCUCUAGCUCAGCCUCUCGAGUACCUGGGAUUACAGGUGCCCGCCACCAUGCCUGGUUAAUUUUUGUAUUUUUAGUAGAGAUGGGGUUUCUCCAUGUUGGCCAGGCUGGUCUUGAGCUCCUGACCUUAGGUAAUCCACCUGCCUCAGCCUCCCAAAGUGCUGGGAUUAGAGGCGUGAGCCACCACACCUGGAAAAAUUAACUUUUUUUUUUCUUUUUUCUCAAGACAGAGUCUUGCUCUUUCACCCAGGCUGGAGUGCAGUGGUGUGAGCUCAGCUCACUGCAACCUCUGCCUCCUAGGUUCAAGCAAUUCUCCUGCCUCAGCCUCCCAAGUAGCUGGGAUUACAGGCGCCUGCCACCACACCCAGCUAAUUCUUGUAUUUUUAGUAGAGAUGGGGUUUCACCAGGUUGGCCAGGCUGGUCUUGAACUCCUGACCUCAGGUGAUCUGCCCAUCUGGGCCUCCCAAAGUGCUGGGAUUACAGGCAUGAGCCACUGCACCCAGCCCAGAAAUUGACUUUUAUAAAGGAUUUUUUUUUUUUUUUUUUGAUUUGGAGUUUUGCCCUGUCCCCCAGGCUGGAGUGCAGAGGUGCAAUCUUGGCUCACUGCAACCUCUGCCCCCUGGGCUUAAGUGAUGCUCCUGCCUCAGACUCCUGAGUAGCUGGGAUUACAGGUACCUGCCACCAUGCCUGGCUAACUUUGUAUUUUUAGUAUUUUUGUAUUUUUAGUAGAGAUGGGGUUUUGCCAUUUUGGCCAGGUUGGUCUCGGACUCCUGACCUCAGGUGAUCCACCCGCCUUGGCCUCCUGAAGUGCUGGGAUUACACCUGAGAGACUGCAUAAUAAGGCAACUUUUAUUCACCAUACACUCCAUACUCAUCCCUUCUAUUUCCCAUAAUUUAUCUCCUCCCUGCCCCUCCAAAAGCCUCAAAUUCUUGUUCUUUUCUGUAGCUUAGGAUGACACAUAAGCCUCAAUCACCUGACUGCCUUAUUUAUUUUUACCUUUUUUUCUCCCUUUUAAUUUUAAGAGGUGGUGUCUCACUGUCACCCAGGCUGGAGUGCAGUGGCUUGAUCAUAGGCUCAUUGCAGCCUCAACCCCUGGACAAGAGAUUCUCCACCUCCUCAGUCUGCCAAAUAGCUGGGACCACAGAUGGAGUUUCCCUCUUGUUGCCCAGGCUGGAGUACAAUGGCACCAUCUUGACUCACCGCAACCACCACCUCCCUGGUUCAAGCGAUUCUCCUGCCUCAGCCUUCCGAGUACCUGGGAUUGAGAUGUGAAACCAGCUGGACUUCCUGGGUCAAGUGGGGACUUGGAGAACUUUUCUGUCUAAAGGACUGUAAAUGCACAAAUCAGUGCUCUGUGUCUAGCUAAAGGAUUGUAAAUGCACCAAUCAGUACUCUGCAAAAUGGACCAAUCAGCACUCUGUAAAAUGGACCAAUCAGCAGGAUGUGGGCAGGGCCAAAUAAAGGAAUAAAAGCUGGCCACCCAAGCCAGCAGCAGCAACUUGCUCGGGUCCCCUUCCAUGCUGUGGAAGCUUUGUUCUUUUGCCCUUCACAAUAAAUCUUGCUGCUGCUCACUCUUUGGGUCUGCACCACCUUUAAGAGCUGUAACACUCGCCAGGAAGGUCCGUGGCUUCAUCCUUGAAGUCAGGAAGACCACAAACCUGCCAGAAGGAAGAAAUUCCAGACACAUCUGAACAUCUGAAGGAACAAACUCAGGACACACCAUCUUUAAGAGCUGUAACACUCACCACAAAAGUCCGUGGCGUCAUUCUUGAAGUCAGCGAGACCAGGAACCCACCAGAAGGAAUAAAUUUCAGACACAGGAUUAUGGGCAUGCACCACCAUGCCCAGCUAAUUUUGUUUUUCUUUAGUAGAGAUGGGUUUCUCCAGUUGGUCAGGCUGGUCUUGAACUCCCGACCUCAGGUAACCCACCUGCCUCAGCCUCCGAAAGUGUAUUCCUUUACUUUCUUAAUAAACUUGCUUUCACUUUA